UCAACUAAGGUCUUGGAAUCAGUCUCGAAAAUGACUGUGAUAUACGGUAUAAGGUAAUUUGCGCAACCCAUUUUAUAGUUUGUAACAAAGCAAAGGCCUUCCCUUCCUUGACGUAUUGUGUUUAUAGUUAGAUAAUAAGUUUUCGAGUUAUUUAAUUUUCAUUAAAAUAUAUGAAGCUGAUGUUGAUUUAUGGGGGUACAAGUGUGAAUUGUAAUUUUU
rnacentral:lncRNA from 1 species